GCGUCUCUUUCUGGGCCGUGGAGCUGUCCGCUCUGAAACCUGAGGAAGUCGUAGUUCAGGGAGGGGUAGCUCUUGCACCUAGGCCGUUAGGAACGAGUUUUAGGUUCGAAUCCCAUCUUAUGGAAGGUGGUAUUGGUCCCUUGGGUGUCCCACCCGUCUCAGCCAAACUGCGGGCCAUUUCCCGGGGCGAGCAAGGGGAGUUACCGCGCCAGUGGGUGGACUCGCCGCCUCUCGGAGUCGGGAGGAAGUCGAGCUGGGGUGCAGUUACGAGUCUCAGUUAAUAAUGAAUAGGGUGGCCAAUGGUGGGCCAGGCACAGUGGCUCACGCCUGUAAUCCCAGCACUUUGGGAGGCCGAGGCGGGCGGAUCACGAGGUUAGGAGAUAAGAGACCAGCCUGGCUAAUAUGGUGAAACCUCGUCUUUACUAAAAAUAAAAAAAUUAGCUGGGCAUGGUGGCGGGCGCCUGUAGUCCCGGCUACUCGGGAGGCUGUGGCAGGAGAAUCGCUUGAACCGAGGAGGCAGAGGUUGCAGUGAGCCGACAUCGCGCCACUGCACUCCAGCAUGGCGACAAAGCGAGACUACGUCUCAAACAAACAAACAAACAAACAAACAAAAAAAACAAAAAGAAAAGGAAAAAAAAGGGUGGCCAAUAUAGUGAAACCCCCUCUCUACUAAAAAUACAAAAAUUAGCUGGGCGUGGUGGCGCGCGCCUGUAGUCCCAGCUACUCGGGAGGCUGAGGCAGAAGAAUCGCUUGAAGCCGGGAGGCAAAGGUUGCAGUGACCCGAGAUUGCGCUACUGCACUCCAGCCUGGGCGACAGAGCGAGGUUCCGUCUCGAAAAAAAAAACAACGAAAAGGGGACUCACUUCGGAGAAGCUGCCCUCUCUGCAAACUUAUUUGAGGAUGUGGUCUUGCUAUGUUGCCCGGGCUGAGUGCAGUGACUAUUCACAGGCCGGAUCUAGUGCACUGCAGUCUUGAACUCCUGGCUUACAGUCCUGCUGGUUCUGAGAGGCAGGGGAAGAAACGGCCACCAUGCUCUGCAGCUAGGUCUCAGCAUGAGGACCAAGAACCCUGGUGUUCCUCCACUCAUCGGAGCCGUAUCAUUUUGGUGCAUUGGCCAGGAAAGGAAAUUCAAUCAUGAGACUGGUGAGUAUGGAGCGGAUUUCAACUUUAUAUCUGUUCUUUAGUCUCAAGGCUCUCUUCCAGCUACCCUGUCGCCAAAACUUUCUUUCUAUCUGUGGUCUCUCUGUGUGUCUAAUGUGCAGGAUUCUGUCUGUUAGAAAAGAUCGUGAAUCACGGCAUGCAGUAACUCAAUAAGUGUCUCUCUCUCUCUCUACGUUUUCUCUGGCAAGCACAUGGUAUUUCUAAGCCACCUAGUAGAAAUCAGGCUGUAGGCCUCUUCUAAGAAUGGGAAGUUUCUGCUUUUAACAGUUAGGAGUAGGAUGUCUUCCAUGGCCAAAUUUUAGUCUCAAUAUUGUCCCACUGGCAGGAAAACGGCCAUUCAGUUCCUAUGUUCCUUUAAGCCAUCUAUUCUGGCUCCUACUAAGACAGUGCUUAAUUAGUAAGGGGAUUUUAAGUCCAGAAGUUAACCGGAACCAUUCUUCUAUGGGUAAAUGCUUUAGCAUGGGCUAUAAUGGCAGGAUAUAGAGUUCAAUCUAUCACAUCCCCUCCCUUAAAGGGUCUCUUCCCAAUUACAUGGUUUUUCUUCAAAUCCAUUUUUUGGGAGGCACACAGGCCACCCAAGUCUAGGAGGUCAAAGGUAAAUAAAAGGCAGAGAACUGAUUGCUUGGGAACAGCGUGACUAUGGCCCAAAACUCAGAUCCUCUGGUGCCAUGGCUUGGAGGGUCACACCUGCAGUCAUGGGUGGAACAUUUAAAUGAGUGCUGGGAAUCCAGGAACAAAAGAGAAAAUAGUUGGGGGACGCCUCCUACUGCUUUCUUCUCCAUCCUGGAUUUCAUACCAAAAGGAAGGAGACUAAAAGGACGCUUUUAUUCUCACUUCUCUUUCUAGAUGGGUAACAGACCAUCUUCAACAUGCACUUCUCUUGAGUGUAUUUUGAAGCACUAGGACUCUUUCGACCUUGAAACUUUGAAGAAAAAGUGGCUUAUUUUCUUUUGCAGUCAUAUCAGGCAGGCCCAGGGAAAACAGUACCCCAAAAUUUAAAAAGUAACUUUCAGGGAAGUCAUCUGAGGGUCCCCCUUAUUUGGGGCCCCUUCAAGUUCCCUUCUCAUUGCAGGACCUUUGGCAAGUAAAGGGAGACUUAGGCUGGUUUUCUGAUGACCUUAAUAAGUAUAUGGAAGCUUUCCAAUAUUUAACUCAGGUAUGUAACCUCUCAUGAAGGGAUGUUAUGUUGCUGCUAAGGCAAACCCUUACUGUAGGUAAAAUAAGCAGCUCUGCAAGCAGAAGAAAAUUUUGGAGAUAAGUAAUGUCUCCUAUAGAAGGCCAAAAGGGAAAAGAAAAAAAUAGGGAAGGCAAAGGGGAAACACCAUUCCCAAUAGGAAAAGAGGCAAUACCUCCUGACAACCCUAAUUGGAACUCCUUUCUGUGGUGUUUUUCCUUGUUUUGCAGUUUAAAAUGGCUUCUCUUUUAUAAUGUUCUUCCAACAUGGAAAAGGUUAAUUUUCCAAACCUUAAAAUGUUUGGCAUAGAGUUGAGCUAGGGGGAAGGAAACCCAGCCCAGAAGCCUGAUAUGCUGGCAAAAGGGUAAAAAUUUCUUACCAGUCAGGCUUUUGGCUUCUCUCUUCCUGUGGAAACCGGCAAAAGGGAUAAUAAAGAUCAUUGUUUAUGUUUUCUUUAAAUUUAUAGUUAAUGAAAAAGGAUUUGUGAGGUUGGUCUUAAGCUGUAAACAAUCUGCUCUUCUUUGUAUGUCUUUCUGUGUGGUUCUGUUAAAGAAAAGGUAUCUUAGGUCAGGAUGCAGGCCCAGAAACCCAUAAGCCUGCUGUUCAAACCAGCCCAGCAAAGUAUCCAGUGGCAAACUUGGCUACAGGCCUCCAUCUUGUUUCAUGUCAUGGGAACAUAAUCUGUAACCAUGUGGCAAUACUUUGUUUUUGUCUCCGCCAUUUUACAAUGGUGGCUGUCUUCUUGUGCUAAAUCAGAUAAGCCAGUUUGUCAGUCUGGGCUGUGUCAGCUGAUCCAUCAAGGGCAGGGUUUACAAAACAUCUUAAGCACUGAUCAUAACAGCCGUUUAGGGAGGGUCAAAAUCUUGUAGCCUCCAAUUGCAUGGCUCUUGGGCCAUGGUUUCUAAUCCUGUAGCUAGUUUCUUGGUCUGGUCCCCAGGCAAAAGGGAAGUAUAUCUUGAGAAGCAGCUGCUAUCUUCUUUGUUUUAGACUAUAAACUGUAAACCAAGCUCCUCCCCAACUUGAUUCAGCCUAUGCCCGGGGAUGGGCAAGGACAGUUUGGGGACUGGAAACAAAAUGGAGUUGUUUGGGUGAGAUCUCUUCCACUGUCUCAGUCACAAUUUUGCAGUGACAGUUUCAAAAGCUGCCUGUCCGGGUGGAUCACGAGGUCAGGAGUUCAAGACCAGCCUAGUCAACAUGACGAAACCCUGUCUCUACUAAAAAAACAAAAAUUAGCCAGGCGUGGUGGCAUGCACCUGUAGUCCUGGCUACUCAGGAAGCUGAGGCAGAGGAAUUGCUUGAACCCAGGAGGCAGAGGUUGCAGUGAGCCAAGAUCAUGCUACUGCACUCCAGCCUGGGUGACAGAGCAAGACUCUGUCUCAGCAAAAAAAAAAAAAAAAAAAAAAAGCUGCCUGUCACUCCUUUAAAAAUACCUUUUACACUCCUGGUUAAGUCAUAACCUAAUUAAAGCUCUUUAGUUUUACCUGUGAGGUUACUUAUUGUAAAGUUCAAAAGCCAAAAAUCUUAACUGCUUGGCAUGGCUAAGGUCAAGUAACAAAGGAUUUAGAAGAAUUUUCUUAAAGAGUGCUCAGCUUAAUUAAAAGUGGAAAAUCAAGUUAUAGGUAUAUUAAAAGGCCUUUAUGUUUUUUCUUUUCUUGAAUCUUGUUUUUCUGGAAAAAGGCUCAUCUCAGCCGACUGAAUUAUUUUUCUCCAUUUUUUGUCUUACUACUCUUAAUGCAUGUAUAAAAGGCCCUAAGAUAACUUCUGGUAGCAUGGGACUCCUCAGGAAACACAGAGGAGGCGCCACAGACCCCGUUUUGGGAAAAAACCCUCUGUUUUCCUCAUGAAACCCCAGGAAUUAAAAGCAAAUAAUUCCCUCUCAAAAUCAAAGGCUCUGUUCUGUUUUGCAUUGUGUUAUCUGAUGGUUUUGAGUUUUGGGGGUAUCAGAAAUUACUUCGCAUUUUUACAAGAAAGCUUUGGUGUGUAAUAAUCAAGUAGAAAAUACACUGUAAGGGAUGGCUAAUAGUAGUUAUAAAUCAGGGAUGCUCUUGGCCACCUGGAAGAUAAGGAAACAUCCUCACCCUGCACUGGGAGAUGAGACUCCCAUCAGGGAUGGGCUAAUUACAAAAUAAGCCAAUUGGCUUUGGGCUGCCUUGCAAUGCAAUGCAUGGUAGAAGCACUACACCGUCCUCUCCCAUAGUAUCUAUAUGGUCUUUUCAUAAAUUAAGCAUUAAAAUAAAAGCAUAGCAAGGAGGUCUUAAGACACUAAUCUGCCCCUUAGUAAAAGGGUUAUAAAAGGUUUGUAAAGAUUUCACCUUGGCCGGGUGCGGUGGCUCACACCUGUAACCCCAGCACUUUGGGAGGCCGAGGCGGGCAGAUCACCUGAGGUCGGGAGUUCGAGACCAGGCUGACAAACAUGGAGAAGCCCCGUUUCUACUAAAAAUACAAAAUUAGCCAGGGGUGGUGGCACAUGCCUGUAAUCCCAGCUACUUGGGAGGCUGAGGCAGGAGAAUCGCUUGAACCUGGGAGGCGGAGGUUGCAGUGAGCUGAGAUCAUGCCCUUGCACUCUAGCCUGUGCAACAAGAAUGAAACUCCAUCUCAAAAAAAAAAGAAAAAAAAAGAUUUCACCUCAUGGUCAAAUUGGUUAGGAUUUGAUGGAAUAAUCUAUAAGGUUUCGUGUAAACAAAUUGGGGUUAACAUUAAUAAACUAAUGCAAGGGUAAAAUUUUGCUUUGAACAAGAUUUUCAUUUCAUAAUAAAGGCUAAUGAAAGGAUUUUGCCUUUUGAGUCAUCAUUUUGGCAAAAUAAUUUAUGGCAAUCUGGAAAUUGUCCUUCCUGAUACCUAACUUUUUGAAUGGUUUAGAGGGGCCCUGAAACAUUCAGAAAAGAGGUAAACAGGAUUAUUUGACAUGUUUAGUCACAUGAGAUUGCCAAAAUGAUGUCCAAUCUUAUUUAAGUUAUAGUUUGGUGAAUAAUACUAAUAUAUGUUUCAGAAUUGUAUGGGAUUUCUAAGAUUCUAAUGUCUAAGUAUAUGCUAUCAAUCAUAAUUAAGGGUAAAGUUAUUGUAAACCAUGAAGAUAAAUAAACUUCUUUGUCA
rnacentral:lncRNA from 10 species